rnacentral:rRNA from 1 species
GCAUAUCAAUAAGCGGAGGAAAAGAAACCAACAGGGAUUGCCUCAGUAACGGCGAGUGAAGCGGCAACAGCUCAAAUUUGAAAUCUGGCCUUCGGGUCCGAGUUGUAAUUUGCAGAGGAUGCUUUUGACGAGGUGGCGACCGAGUGCCCUGGAACGGGCCGCCGUAGAGGGUGAGAGCCCCGUAUGGUCGCACUGCCGAGUCUCUGUAAAGCUCCUUCAACGAGUCGAGUAGUUUGGGAAUGCUGCUCUAAAUGGGAGGUGUAUGUCUUCCAAAGCUAAAUACCGGCCAGUGACCGAUAGCGCACAAGUAGAGUGAUCGAAAGGUGAAAAGAACUUUGAAAAGAGAGUUAAAAAGUACGUGAAAUUGUCAAAAGGGAAGCAUUUAUGACCAGACUUGGGCGUGGUUGAUCAUCCGGCGUUCUCGCCGGUGCACUCUGCCCGCCUAGGCCAGCAUCAGUUCGCCUCGGGGGAGAAAGGCUUCGGGAAUGUGGCUCUUCGGAGUGUUAUAGCCCGUUGCGUAAUGCCCUGGGGUGGACUGAGGUCCGCGCUCGCGCUUGGAUGUUGGCAUAAUGGUCAUCAAUGACCCGUCUUGAAACACGGACC